UUCAUAGCAACAGAGACCCUAACCGAGACAGAAGUUGGAACCAGGAGUAGAGUAUUGCUGUGAUAGGCCUGACCUUGCUUUUGUUUGGAGGAAUGUGGACUUUGGGACUUUGGAAAGCAGUGGAAUGUUUGAAGUGGGGCUUAAUGGGCUGUCCUAGCAGGGGUAUGGAAGACUUUGUGGCUGAGGGUGAUUUGAACUGUGCAGACCUGGCCCAAGGGGUUUCAGUGGAGAAGAACUUUAGUAUGUGGCCUAGAGACUGUCGUGGUAUCUUUGGUGAAGAAUGUGGCUGCUUUCUGCCCUUGUCGGAAGAGUCCACCUGAGGCUAAGGUUAGCUGAAUGAGAUAGAAGGCAUGUUUUCCCUCUGAAUCGCACGCCGCAUACAAACGACCUCGUCAUUGACAAGGCUGUCAUUGCUGAAGGUUAAGUGUUUGGCUCAGCUCCCUCCGUCUAAAAACUAUGCUCUAUAAAAUGUUAAUCUGCUUUUGUUUAUUUUUGAGCCCCAAAGAUACUUGAGUAGACAGACACAGUUUCCUCGUCUUAUAUAACCGUGAAAAUGCUUUUUUUUUUUUAAUUGGCAAAGCAUAUCACAGCUUAUCUGGUCCAAUUCCUCAACUGAUAGAAAAAGAGGGUUCUAAAAACAACUGGGCAAAAAUAGAAAUAUUAUAAACGGAAUCACAUUUUUUUUUUUUUUUUUUUUUACUUAGCGGGCAAGCUUGCUCUCAGAGUCUGUGUAAAAGCUUCUGGAAGGGGAACAAUCAGCAGCCGUGAAAGCCAUACCCACCGGAAGGACUAAUCUGCUCGCUGACAAAACCACUCAGCUUUUGACUGACCUGUUAGGAAAUCACAGCUUGACUGGACGAUUACUUACAUCAGUCCCUGUGCUCAGCGACACCGUACUCCUCUUGUUUAAUCCUUGCCAUAGACCUAAAGGCAAGCUACUGCGAGUGUCCUGGUUAUAAAAUGAGGCUAUGAGUUUUCGGGAGAUUAAUGAACAAUGCAUUUAUCGUUAGCUGUCUGUCUGUUUGCCUGUUUUUCUGUCUGUUUGUGUGUGUGUCUGUGUGUCUGUGUGUCUGUGUGUCUGUUGUUUGUUUGUUUUUGAAAUAGGGUCCCAUACAGUCCAGCCUGGCCUUAAAGUCCUGACAUACCCGCUUCUAACUCCCCAGUGGAAUUGGGGAUUGAAGAGAUGUGCCACUGCACCCAGCAUCGAGGACAGCAUUAUAAACCACAAAUCACACACAACAAAAUUUCUCAUGUGAUGUGACUAACCUCACUUACAGCUUAGAUACUUUGUUUGGUUAGGAGUAGAGUGGUGGAUUCCACUUCUGCAGUGAUUCAAAGAUCCAGAAAUUCCUAAUUAAAGGAAUAGGAGAGAAAAUGAACCAGUGUGAAAGUCGGGUUGUAAGGCAGAUAUUAGGAGCUCUGGAGGUCACUGAGAACAACUCCAUCAUCAGCGUUAGACCCCACCUCUCAUUUACCUGGUACCCUUAGAAAGGGAAGCUUCACCAUUGCUCCCCCUUAAGAUUUAAGAUACAGGGAGUCGAGGGAUGGCUCAGAGGUUAAAAGCACUGGCUGCUUCUCCAGAGGUUCUGAGAUCAGCUCCCAGAAAUCACAUGGUGGCUCACAACCAUCUGUAAUGGGAUCUGAUGCCCCCUUAUGGCCUGCAGGUGUAUGUACAAAUAAAGUACUCAGACAUAAAAUACAUAAAUAAAUAAAUCUCCUAAAAAGGAUUUAAGAUACAAUAUGGCGAUAGGAGGACCUUUGUUGAGUUGCUGAAGAAGAGCUACUUCAGACUGGGGUAGUGGGUUGUUGGAAAACUGUGUCCACCAGAAACCAUCCAGAGAACCUACAGAGUUCAGUGUGUGGCCGACAUCGGUAAGCCCAGCAAUCCUUCCCUGAGAGGGGAGGUGGAGACAGAAGAAUCAUCCCGAAGCCAAGAACCAGAUAACCUGGAGUCAACUACUCAGCGGCAGGAACAAAAGAGACCCUGCCUCAACCGGGUGGGAGGUGAGAAUGUUCCUGACUUCUCCGCUCAUUCUGUGCCACGCACACAGCACAUUUAGCUAAAAAAUGUUUAAGGAAAACUCCUUCCUCUUAGUCAAGAGUUCUAGCUUUGACUCUAGGUGGAAACAUGACUUCCUAAACUUACAAAAACAAUACACCCUACCAUCUCCUUCCUUGACAAUUAAUCCACAAUCCAACUGGACCUGAUCGAGAGACCACCCCUCAGAAAAGCUGAUUUACCACACACAUGCUAGGGAGAAGGGAGGAGUAAUUAUCCCUUUGAUGGCACAAUGCACUUAUACACCCAGGAGACCUCCCUCUGGGCAGUUGCAUACAGAUCUUCACUCUGUCUCAACUCCUCUUCCCUCACUUCCUCUCACUGAGAAGGAAGCAACUCCAGAAAGACCAAAGCUCUUUCCCACAGACCCACUGGAGCCAAGACUGUGUCCAAUUAAGCCACUCAUUUUGACUCUGUGUGACCAGAGUCAAAAUUUAACUCUACAUUCUCUGAGGCCACCCCCCAGUGAGAUGAGGAUGAUAACACCUGCUUCUCAAGACAGCACGAAAGUUUGUGAAACAAUCUCCCCGGGUGUGCUGUGGAGAUCUUCAGGUCCUUUCCUAACAUAUUUUUUUUUCUUAAAGGAAAAGAAAGAGACUCUUAAUCACAUGGCCCUGCUGUCUGUCCAUCUGAAAGCUGACUUGUCAUCUUGAAACCUUGUAGGCUAAACUCAUAGAGGGCUUUGCAGGGAAGGAGCUGGUUUGGGGUGACAGAGUUGUGAGGGACACUUGGUGACCUCAGAAGGGAAGGGUGUAACAUAAUGCCUUUUUAAGGAAAAGGAAAAUAUUACAAGACUCUGCUGACUUGUACAAAGUCUUCCUUACUCAACCAUUCUAGGUACAAAGUUAGGAGUCUCCAGGCCAGCAUUUCUGAUAGACACAGGUGACUAACCAUCUUCUCUGACACUUUGUGUAUAGUGGGGAGUUUGCCUUGGUCUCUCCAGGCUGCCCCUGAGCAAGGCUGACACUGUUUUCACUUGGCAAGCACACACAGGGCUGCAAAGCUCAGGUCCUUCUCUUCUUCCAGCUGGCUGGACAGGGGCUCACCCAGCCAGCAGCACAAACUGAGGGUAGGAUACUGGAAGGAUGGGAGAGACAUUCACACAGCUUGUCUGACUUUGGAUGUGCCUAGGUUUGGUAAACUGUCAUUCUAAGCUUACCUCGGACCACUGAUGGACAUGAUGAGCUUACAGCUUGGUAGAUCUCAUCACAUCUCCCAAGGGAUAAUUUUGGCUAAAUGGCCAUUUGGUGCCUCUUUGAAACUUUCAUUUUGUUUUAAUGAUUGGAUUCCUAUAUUAUUUAGUAAGGGUGGGGGGCAUACAUGUUCCGUGACGUAUGUGUGGAGGUCAGAGGGCAAACUGCUGGGGCAGUUUUCUUCUCCUAUCGUGUGGCUCCUGGGGACUGAGCUCGAGCCAUCUGUCAACAUCAGCAGCUGCUAAGCCAUCUUGUUAGCAGCCUGUUUUACUUUUGAUGCACAGGUCUCCGCCAUAGAUGGCUCGCAUGCUGGGUAGGAGUGGGUCUCAGUGGGACUCCCCUGAGCUUAUCCUCUGCAGGGGAUUAUUGCUCACCAUUGAACACCUCCAUGCUCUAGCGUCUGCUGGGUCUAGACUCAGCUAACAGGGUUGCUGGGAGACAUUAAGAGAGGGCAGCCCUGGCAUCGAAGCUCUUGUGAAUGCAGAUGGAGCACGAGUGAAAGAGAAAAUGGAGCUGCUCUCUGCUGGAUCCUCAGGCCUUUUCAUCUUCUUAUUUUACUUUUUAUCGUUGUUAUCUUAAGGGUUGUUUUGUUUCGAGUCAGGAUCGGCUGGAUGGCCUGGAACUCAGCAGGCUGGCCUUAGACUUGUCGUGACCCUCCUGCCUCUGUCUCUCAAGGGUUGAGACUACAGGGCCCUUUGUUUCCAUACCUGCCUAACAGCAAGUUUCCUCAGGGCAGGCUCGGAAUUCCAGCUCCUCAGCCUACUGCCAUUUGAGCCCAGCCAAUUCCCUUUCCACCUUGAGGCUUCUUGUCCUCCCCUAAGAAGGUGGGACAGUAAUCAGCCCACAGUGCAGUGGUGAGCAGACACAGGGAUAUCUCAGCACUCCCUCAGAACCACGCUCAUUCCUCUCGCCUCUGACCCUCUAACAAAAGCUCCCGGACUCCGGUCUCAGCGCCUAGUAAAUCUGCUAAUGUGCCAGUGGGUAUAGACGAGUGCAUGGAGUCCUCGGGGGAACAUGUGGUUAACACGUGUGCAUUUUAAUAGGGCUCUUUUACAGCGGUUCUAAUGCUCUGUGGAUUGUCUGGGGCCAUGAGGGUUGUUCUCUCAGGUUGUAAACUCGCCGCUACUGGUUCCACCUUCUUCUAAGUCUGUUCUACAAGUCGUCGGGGAUGUGGCUCAUGCGCGGGGUGUGCACGUACUGGUUAAUUGGGAAAGCUUGAUUGGGUUUGGAAUCACCUAGGAGAUACGUUUCGAAGUUUGCAAGGGUGUUUCGAGAGAGGUUCAACUGAGGAGGAAGCGUUUACCCUAAAUGUGGGUCGCACCAUCAAAUGGACGGAGGUCCCAGACCAAAUAAAAAGUGGGAAAGCGAGGGUGGGGGAAUGGGAGGGGGACUACAGAGAUGGGUCACUGACUGCUCUUCUAAAGGUCCUGAGUUCAGUUCCCAGCAACCGCAUGGUGGCUCACAACCAUCUGUAAUGAGAUCUGAUGUCCUCUUCUGGUGUGUGUUUGAAGACAGCUGCACUGUACUCGUAUACAUAAAAUAAAUAAUUGUUUUUUAAAAGGAGGUGGGGAAAGCUAGCUGAACAUGCUUCUGUGCUUCCUGAAUGCAGAUGUGAUGUGAACAGGUCCCUCACCCUCCCAUCCCUUCCCUGCCAUCACAGACUGCACUACUCGGACAGAGCCAAAAUAAGCCUUUCCUCGCUUAAAAUGAUUCUCACUGGGUCACAACUAAGAAAAAAAAAUAACAAAAAACCAGUGUAUUCACUCAAUAAAUACAUAUUGUUUAUAUGCUGUA